rnacentral:tRNA from 2 species
GCAAUUUUAGUUUAAUAAAAAUGAAGGUUUGUCUCAUCUUUGAUGGUUUUACCAAAUUGCU